rnacentral:rRNA from 1 species
UACAGAGGAGCCAAGCGUUGUCCGGAUUGACUGGGCGUAAAGCGCACGCAGGCGGUUGGGCGCGGGGGGGGUGAAAUCUGGCCGCUUAACGGCCAGGCGCCAUCCCAUACGGCGCGACUGGAGUGAUGCAGAGGUCGAUGGAAUUUCCGGUGUAGCGGUGAAAUGCGUAGAUAUCGGAAGGAACAUCAGUGGCGAAGGCGACUUCCUGGACCAAUACUGACGCUCAGGUGCGAAAGCGUGGGGAGCAAACAGG